UCCUCAGUGACUAAAGUCCCUGCUUCACUGUACUUUCCACAGCUGGAUCCAGAGAAGCAAAACUAAAUCGUUCGUCAUGUAUCUCACCUUGCUCUUCUUUCCACUUGGUGUCAGGAUGCAGCUGUACUGCCUCUUCCCAACACAUUUUGAAAGCUCAGUAGCCUUCUGUGAAGUCUGGUGAAGUCUAUCUGGACAGCAAAGGGCUGGGGCAGUGGUGUGAUGCACCUGCUAAAUGGAACCAUCAUAUCAAUAGAGCUAGAGCAAUACGGCCAGAGAUGCUGAACUAAGGAUUUGACGGAUGGUGGCCCACCAGGGUUUUUCAGUUUGUAGGUGUUUUCUAGAAGGCAAGGAGGGGAAGAAUGAAAUGAUCCAAGUUCCCUUCGCCUGUGGGAGCAGGGAAAGUGUUCUGCACAUCUUCUAAACAGCCAUAUACCAGGAGGAUGGAUUUGCACUGGGGCUGUUCCUGUGGUUAUUAACUGGUUGAUUUCACAGGUAAUAUUUUGGCUUC
rnacentral:lncRNA from 1 species